AAUAUUUUAUAAUGGAUAACGGACCAGCUGGAAGCCUUUAAAUAUAAAAUAGUGUAAAAUAUAAUUAUAUCUGGAGAGAGUUGUAGAUGAAUGGUAUUAAAGAUUACAUCACCAAUUAUUGUUGAUUAGUAUAAAACAGACAACUGAAGAAAGAAAUUAAAUCAAUUUUUACAGAGAACUAACAUCAAGAUGAGGCGAGUAAUUGUAUUUGGAAUCUUGAUACUAUUCCUGUCUACCACGAUCGAUUCAUUUGUAUUUCGACGUCGAUGUCCGGCCUGUCAUUGUGAUUGUGGACGAGGAAGAUGGUCGUUAGGGAAGCGAGACCUAGGCGUUAGUGAUGUCGUCAGUGAUGUCGAGGAUGUUUUCAAGAGAAAUGAUGAACCGUUGGAAGAACUAGAGAGGUUUGUGACUGGAGAGGAUUUUAGUCUAGAAGAGGAAUAAAGUUUUUCUGGUAAUAUUUUCUAAUGGCCUAAAUGACGAUCCAAACAAAUGUCAAGUCAGAAAUUUAAAAUAAAAUGCCAUAAAGUUAUUUUGUUUUGUUUUGUUUUCUUGUCAUUUUUGAUGAAAGGGCUAGGACAAACAAAUUUUUUGAGGAACUGAAACUUUCUAUGAUUUACUGCCGCCCGCCCCUACCCCGCACUCUUCCCCCACCCCCGUCCCGGCACUUUGGUAGUAGGCCUGCUUUUAUUAUCACCCACCAAACGAGGUUAAAGGAGAUAUUGAAACUUUGUACACUUAUGAACAUAUUAUAUUAGUUGUCACUCAACGUCUGCUAAUUGAUCAUAAUUUUUGUGGCUUUGUUUUUGGUAUACAAGGAUACGAAGAGACCGGGGUUUCACCUUAAAGUAGCUAAGUCUCUAACUCAAUAUCAUCCAAAGUUUUCGACAGUGAAAACAUGAAUUAUUUGUCAAUUUUAAAUCAACAUUGAUGUUGUGAUAUUACCGGGAAAAGAUGGGCUUCUGAUAUCCAAAAUUUAAGACAAAAUAAACAUUUUACCAUUAGUACACGAAUCGUGUGUCAUGAUGCGUUUCAGCUCCAUUUGAAACAAGGGACUCGAAGAACGAGGCAAGACAUUCCAAAAGUCAUGUCAAACGGCGACGCAUAUUCUUAACUGGAGAGCAUGCCCAAUAAAUAAUAUCGAUGUAGACUUCAAUAAACAGACGCUAAAGAUUGUUAUUCGAUUGAGACUUGUGGCGUAUUUCGCCAAACAUAACUGAUUUGAAAUUGCAGUAAAAACAGAAACGAUUGAAUGUAAAUCAGUUUACAUACAUUCAUGUUACAUUAUUACCGGGUAUAUGCGUUGCGACCCAUUUGUGUCAAUUUGUAGGUCCCAAAUAUUAGCGAUUUAACUCCUUUAACACUGAGUCACACAGUGUGUACGUGGGAAGGUCCCUUUAAAUAAAUCUCAUUUUUAUAAUAAAUGAAUAUUUACCUUUGUGUCUCUCCUCUUUCUUCAGUUGGAUAUUUUAUACUGGUCACUAAUACCUGGGGAUAUGUUUCUACACCUCUAUAGAUAUAAUUAUAUUUUACACUGUUUUAUAUUUAAAGGUAUCAAAAGUAAUCAAAAAAUCAUUUUAAUAUUGCCUUAAGCAAUUUGGGCGGGUGUGAAAUUUACAAUUGGUGUAGACUUGAAUUACUUAAAUCUAUCUCCCCUUUAAUUCUAUCACCCUGGGGGAGGGGGUGAGUGUAAAAACAAAAUAUUAUAAUGAACAGUUAAAAGGUACCUGGGCAAAAUUCACAUGAUUUUAUGAUUACUUUUAAUACCUUGAUUUAGAUUACGGACGAGCUGGAAGUCUUUAAAUUUAAAAUAGUGUAAAAUAUAAUUAUAUCUGGAGAGAGUUGUAGAUGGAUGGUGUUUGACAUUAUAACACCAAUUAUUGUUGAUUAGUAUAAAACAGACAACUAAAGAAAGAAAUUGAAUCAGUUUUUACAGAGAACUAACAUCAAGAUGAGGCAACUAAUUGUACUUGGAAUAUUGAUCAACUUCCUGUUUACCACGGUCCUGUCACUUGACAAGAGUUGUCCGACCUGUGGACGUCCGGUAUGUAGAUGCCAGUGUCAAUGUAAAAAUCAACACAGAUGGAAUGGGAAGCGAGACCUAGUCGUCAGUGAUGUCGAAGAUUUCUUCAAGAGAAAUGAUGAACCGUUGGAAGAACUAGAGAGAAGUUUCCAAAUGACGAUUCUAGAAAAUGCCAUCGCCUACCUCACAUACCUUUGGCCCAAAUUCGACUACAGCAUCGUGUACGUAUACCCAUCUUCAUUAACCCAGUUAAAUCUCUUUCCAUGUCUCCUUUAAGGUAAUAAGACAUAAUAGUAUCAUUCUUUUAUUGUGUUACAGCCUAAAUGACGAUCCAACCAAGUGUCAAGUCACAAGUUGAAAAAUAAAAUGCAAUAAAGUCA